UACGGAGGGUGCAAGCGUUAUCCGGAAUCACUGGGUUUAAAGGGUGCGUAGGCGGUUUGAUAAGUCAGUUGUGAAAGGCAGUCGCUUAACGAUUGGAUUGCAAUUGAUACUGUUAGACUAGAAUUAGGUGGAGGUAUGCGGAAUGUGACGUGUAGCGGUGAAAUGCUUAGAUAUGUCAUAGAACACCGAUUGCGAAGGCAGCGUACUAUACCUUAAUUGACGCUGAGGCACGAAAGCGUGGGUAGCGAACAGG
rnacentral:rRNA from 1 species